UACGUAGGUAGCAAGCGUUGUCCGGAUUUAUUGGGUUUAAAGGGUGCGUAGGCGGUCCUAUAAGUCAGUUGUGAAAUACGGCAGCUUAACUGUCGAGGUGCAAUUGAUACUGCAGGACUUGAGUACAGACGAGGUAGGCGGAAUUGACGGUGUAGCGGUGAAAUGCUUAGAUAUCGUCAAGAACACCGAUAGCGAAGGCAGCUUACUGGGCUGUAACUGACGCUGAGGCACGAAAGUGUGGGGAUCAAACGGG
rnacentral:rRNA from 1 species